AGCAGAAUUUCAGCAUUUGCUACUUACUGGUAGAGAAGAAAAAUCCCACAGCCCUGCCAGUACAGGUUAGUUUAAUCUGUAAGUACCUGAUGUUCCUUUUUUUCCCCCUCCCAAACACAUCCAUAAAACUCACACAAAGAAGAAAGCUGUGCAGUUAAUUGUGAGUAUAAAUAUUUGGUCCUUUGGACACUUUAAAGAGCUGAUCACUUGGACCAAAGAUCUAGAUUUGCUGACUUUCAGUAGUAAUAAAGGUGUAAUACUCCUUUAUUAUCUGGUUGUGCUUGAUAAGGUGAACAUAAGGAAAAGAGGAAAUGUUUCAGUUGGCUUCACCCAUGUGGUAUAUGAUAGGGCUUCAGGUUCAGGGUCUUUUUUUUUUUUAACUUCAUGGUGGCUUUCACUCAUCUUUUCCCUUUCUGCAGUAUGACUCAAUCUAAGAAAAAGCAAGUUUUCCUCACCACUAGCAGUGAGAGAUGGUACAUUCAUAAGUUAAUGUUUUUAUACUGCUUUUUUAAACCUUAACCUUUUUUUAGUAACAUUUGUAAAUACUUUUUGUUCAUCUUUGUAAACUGUAACUUAUGUUGGGUAUACCACUGUGGGUUCAUUUUGCUUUGAACUAAGAAUAUUAAACCUGACUUUUCUUAUUGGAAUGAGGGCUGUCAAGAAAUUUACCUAGCCAGGCCUGUUAGUACACAUUUGUAAUCCCAGUACUCAAGUUGGAAGUGAGAGGAUUGGGAGUUUCGGGCUAGAUGAGGGUGUAUAAUGAGACCCUGUGUUUAAUGUCAUGUAAUGUGAGGUUCAGUGGAGCUGUGGCAUGUUGUGAAGGAUGACAUUUUAAUUUUUUUUUUUUUGAGUUUCUCUUUGACCUUCUAAUAUAUUUUUAUGUUCAUAAUUGGUAACAUGGAGGAAUACAGGAUACAAGCUAAUUUCUAUAAGCCUGAACCAUCCUUCUAUUUGUGUAGCAUUGAUUCUAAAAUGUAUGACUUCCUCUUUCUUCACCUCAAGUGUUACCCUGUCUUGCUUGAGAUACAGCUGGGAGUGAUUAGCCAGCCUAAAUGAAUUAGUAUUUUGUUUGGAAGUCAUGUGUUAUGUUAAACUUUUAAAAUCCAGAAUUGGUUUAUCUACUGAUAAUAUCAUUUAUGAGAUAUCCACUUUGUUUUAUGAUUAUAAAAUUGCCCAAGGGUGUAAGUUUCGUUGCCUUUCACAGUUUAAUCUAUAAGAAAUGGCGUAGAUACAGUGGAAAUGGUUUUCCUUAAAACCAUCUCUUUAAAGCUGCCUUUCUGGUGAGUACUGUUUUAUAAUUUUAUGUAUGACAUUUUUUGCCUUUUAACAUUAACUGAAAUAAUGUUAGAGGUGAGCAGUUCUAAAUUAUCUUUAUGCCUUAAUGGAAUCAAUACUAAGAUGAUUAUUUCCCUAGUUUUUAAUUUUUUUGAACUGCCUUUCCAGACUAUAUACAAAAACUUUAAAACAUGGCUUUUUUCCUUUUGUUGAGAUGGAAUAAGUAUUCUACUUAAAUAGCAUUUAAGAAAAUCAUACCCAGUUGGGGAGGUGGCUCAGUUGUUGACAUGCUUGCUGGGUAAGCAAGCAGACCUGAGUUUGGAUUCCAGCAAUCAGUGAAAAGCAGGGCUGUCUGUGGCAGUGUACUGCCUGUAACCCCAUUGCUGAGGCUGAAAACAGGGUCCUUUGUGUUUGCUAACUAGCUUGGCUAGAAUAUUGGUAAGCUCUGAAUUCAGAGAGACUCUGGAAAAGUAAGGUGGAGAGCCACCUGAGACUUUGACCGUUGGCCUGCACACAUAACACUUGUUUACAUGUGAGGUGUGCUCACAUGUAAACAUGCAUAUACAUACAUGCAACAUCUUACAAAUACAAGCAAAAAUUCUUUGAAAGAUUAAUACUUUGGCUUUUUCACACUGCAUAGGUGUACAAAUCUUGAGCAUUUCUUUCUGUUCUUGGAGUAGUUCAUGAGUUGAGGGUUAGGGCAUGGGAAUUAAGCAAAAUUGGACAUACUGGCCAGUUGAUUAUAUAUUAUCUUUGAGGUUUAAAGAGUUUCAAGUUAAAUUGCUUUAACCCCACAUAAGAAAUUAAGAUGUCAAUAUAUGCUAACAGUAUAUACCAGCUAUAUUUCCUGCUGUGCUCUUUGUGAAUCAGUAAAUCAACUGUAAAUGUUUUAAUAAAUGAAGAUAGUUUCUAAAAUCUGAAAUUCAUAAUCUGAAUAUGUAUAAUAAUGUAUUCUAGGCUAGCCCUUAACAAAGCUUGGAGCUUCAGCUUGUGUCUUUAAGAUUUAAAGUGAAAUAAAUUUCUAAGGAGCUUUGUCCUUUCCUAGCAGGGAUAAGCAGACAGUGACAAAUUGCUUUUUAGGAUAGAAAUAUGAGGCUGUUGGAAAUAUCUUCAAGAAGAAUUAAGUAGCCAAUUUGAAGACCCAAUAAUGACUUUCAGUUUACAUAAAUCUUGUGUUUUUUCAGCUGCAGUUAAAACCAAUCAAAUGGUUGUUGGAGGGUGGGUGGUGGACCUUUGAAAUAUUGUUGGAAUUGGUGCAUAAUAGGUAAAUGUCAACACUAUGGAAACCCAGUGCUUUUAAGGAAGUAAAAACUUGGAUUCUUUCCUACCACCCCUGAUGUUGCCUAGGUAACAAAAAGAUAACAGGCUAAAAUGGAUGUAUUUAAUUGCUGCAAUGGGAAAUUACUAUUUGAGGAGUAAGUUCAUUUGUUGGUGAAGUAUUGCAAGAUCCUAAAAGAUCGGAAAAGGGAGCCUGUCUAUCUUCAUUAAGACUCUAAAUUUUAUUCAAGGCUCCAGUUUUAGUGCAGGAAAUGAAGAGGCAAAACAUUUGAGGGAUAUUGAUAUAAGGAGAAUCUGAACAAAACAUGAGGAUAAGUUAUGAGGGCUGCAGACAUGACCCCGUGGGUAAAGUGCUGCUUUUGGAUACGAUCUCCAGCACCCACGUAAAUGCACCUGUGAUCAGACUGGGGAGGUGGAUGCAGGGGAUACCCAGAGCUCACUGGCUAGUCCAGCCAAAUCAGUGAACCAUUGAUACAGCAAGAUGCCCUAUCUGAUAGAAAAAGGUGGGAAUGAAAGAUGACGACACCUCACGCUUACCUUUAACUGCACAUGUAUGUUUCUACACACAUUAUUAAAAAAAAAAGCCUGUCAUCUGGAUUUUGUUGGAGCUUAUUAUAAAAUAAAAACAGCUUGCUCAA